GUAUAGUGUAUAGGAAAGGGACAGAAUACCUUUCAUGAUGGUUGGUCAGAUUCAUUUAUAUGUCACAUAUAUGCUAGCUGUGUGUUUCUUUUUGAUUUUCUUAUUUCGGGGUAGCUAGAGCCUAGCAUUAUAAAUGGAACCUCCAGGAAACUAGGUAAAUGCAGGUGAGGGAUGGAACAGAUGUGUAAUUUUAAUGUAAACCUGAAUCCUAUUGAUUUUUAGUUUCUUGUACCUUCCCUGCAACACAGGACAGAAAUCAGCAGAAAAGAUGAAGAGAACUCCCAAGAGAGCUUCUAGUUCUUCUCUUUUUCUUCAUCCACUCAUCUCAACACCUUGAAGAAAUUAUAUUUAAGACCCUGGUGAAAGUCGGCACGAAGCGCUCCACUCAGACAUUUUGUCCUGUAAGAGAGAAGAGGGGGGAGAUCGCCGUUCCAAAGAGCUGAUCUCACUAUUCUGUUGGAGGCGUCUGAGUUCUGUCUGCCUGAAGAACAUUCUGCUAAUUAGUCAGACAGCCGGCUCCUGCCUUCAGAACUGGAUCUGGUGCCACAGUGC
rnacentral:lncRNA from 1 species